UUCCUGUGUUAGGAGUCCGUCUGAGCUCAGAUCCCGAUCCAGCGAUCCUCUAUGAAGGACAGAAGUUGGUCCUGCGCUGUCUGGUCAGGAAGGGGACGCAUCUGUCCUUCACAUGGUACCACAACAAACAGGAAGUGAACUCCUCAUCAGAGCUCCACCGGCUCUCUGGAGACUCUCUCACGAUGGACAGGGUGACUGAAAUGCAUGCUGGGAUAUACUCAUGCACCGCUCGAAACCAGAUGACCGUCAACCCCAGAUUCUCCAGCAGCCAAAGCCUCCACGUCACUGUCAGAAAGCACAUCUCGGUGCCCUCGUUAUCGUUUACGGUCUUCUCUAACGGCUCGGGCCUAACAGCCAACAUCAGCUGUCGAUCUGAGCGUGGAUCUCCGCCCGUGACGUUCAGACUGAUGUUGGACGGACUGGAGCUGAAUGUGAAGCGAGUGGAUUCACUAGAGGCCUGGUUCGUUCUGCGAUCUCUGUGGGUCUGGAUCUGGGAGUCGCUCAAUGUGAAGCACAAACAGAAACCCAGCAGCUGCUGUCGGAUCCAGAGCGUUUACUUGUAGGUGAGUUUGUUCCUUGAUUCCAAUUCUUAGAUUUGUGUGUAACGUUUUCAGAAAAGAGGCAAUGUUUUGAAAACGUGUGUAACAUGCAGCUGGCCACUGUUUGUGUUAGUUCCAGUAGGUGGCGCCGUGCGUGUCACAGUGAUGUACCUUCAUGACGCUGACGGGAUGGUGUCAGCCGCUCGGCUCACAUGCGUCCCAGACAGAGGAACGUUUCCCACGUUCUCCUGGCAUCUGAACCAUUCCUCCCUUCCAGCAGAGGGCGCUCACGCGGUCACUCAUCAAGGUCAGAUCUUGAUCCUCACAGAAGUCAGUGCUGGGUUUUACGGCUGCAGGGCGAGGGACAGUUUUAACGACAGCUCACUCUGGGUGAAGAGCGAGGACAUCUUUAUUCAGAAGAGAGAUUUGUCGGCGACACCCAUGGAGGUCAUUGCAUUGGUUUUCUGUGGUUUCCUGUCGAUUGUGAUUGUGUUUUGCUCGUUCUUUAUGUUCUGGUGCUCCAAGCGCAGAAACAACACCUGCAAACAUCACAGUAACCAGGACGUGAUCCAGUCUGAGAUGACAACAAUGGACGCUCCUGUAGUUUCCUCUGAACCUCAACCUGAGGAAAUGAAAACCGUCAUCAUGGAGUUUGAUUCCUAAAGAUCCAGACCAGACCUGGAGCCAGUGUCCUGCAGAGACGUCUCAGAGAUCCUGAACUCUUUGAUUAGCUGGUUCAGAUGUGUUUAGUUAAGCUCAAAGACGAACUCUGACUGGACAUCCAUCACUACUGUGCCAUUUUAUGUUUUCUAUCAAUGAGAUUGUAAGGCUUUUAUAUAGCUACCAAAUAAAUGUUUCAUUUACCAAAUGCUUUCUACUGGAUACUGAUUCCCAACACAAACAUCUCUCUUAAGACAGCUUUUAUAUUUACUUAUAUAGUUAUGUUCAUAUUUUGUAGUUUAAAUCUAAUCCUUUAAAAAGUGGCUGUCAUAAAAACAUAAAUAAUGUUAAAUAAUGAUGCCGUUGCGUAAAAAAUAUUGAAUAUCGAGUUCAUGCUCAUAUAAGGGGUUUUACUUACCUCUUUACGCGGUUGAAACACUGAUUGAACGAUUACAUUAGACAUGAUUUAAUUCAGUGAGAUGUUCGGUUUCUUCCAACAUAACUUCUGAUGAUCAUUCAUGUUUAUUUUGUGCCAUAACUAGUAGUAAAGAGGAAGAGGUGAUGAUCGGCCACAGCGAUCUCAAGCCAAAAUGGCAUUUGACUGAAUUUAAAAGGAUUUUGAAUCUUGAGAUUUAAGAAUUGAUAUUAAGAUCACAUAAAUAAAGUAAGUUUAAUCAAUUAACUUAUAUAAGAGUCAACCAAGCCGCAGUCUAUGGUGGGAUAUUUCACCACUUUACUUUUGUGCUGUUGCUAAACUCUAAACUAAGUUUUAAUAAUAUGCCAAAAAGAGACUAAUUUGGUGUUUUUGCCAGUUUUGUUGGUGCAUAAAAUAAAAAAAGGCACGUUUUGUCCAGCAUAGAUACCUGAACAAACCUGGAUGAAUCUGAAAAAUAAAACAAAAAACUAAAUUAUAUAAUAUAAAUGUCGUUUAUCUCACUAUAAAACUGACUGAGCUUUACCAAAUGUCUUUGUAUGACAGACAUCAAAGAAAACAGACACAUGCUCAGGCUGCACUGGUGCAUUAACACAUGUGUAUUGAUGAUAUUAGUGCAGUACUUUGCUCAUUUAUGUAGAUGUUCUCUACGAUCCUCCGUGUCGUUUGCGCUGGCUUCUGUCCUAUCUGUCCUCAACACUUGUGCUGUUU
rnacentral:lncRNA from 1 species